rnacentral:rRNA from 1 species
UGGGGAAUAUUGCACAAUGGGCGAAAGCCUGAUGCAGCGACGCCGCGUGAGGGAUGACGGCCUUCGGGUUGUAAACCUCUUUCAGCAGGGACGAAGCGCAAGUGACGGUACCUGCAGAAGAAGCACCGGCUAACUACGUGCCAGCAGCCGCGGUAAUACGUAGGGUGCAAGCGUUGUCCGGAAUUACUGGGCGUAAAGAGUUCGUAGGCGGUUUGUCGCGUCGUUUGUGAAAACCAGCAGCUCAACUGCUGGCUUGCAGGCGAUACGGGCAGACUUGAGUACUGCAAGGGAGACUGGAAUUCCUGGUGUAGCGGUGAAAUGCGCAGAUAUCAGGAGGAACACCGGUGGCGAAGGCGGGUCUCUGGGCAGUAACUGACGCUGAGGAACGAAAGCGUGGGUAGCGAACAGG